CCCAACCUGCUAUGGAACUCCUUGACUGAGAGAGGAAGAUCAUAUCCCCCACAAGAGCAUAUGGGUCUUUCUUUUUUGCUCGCCAGAUUCUCGAGAAAGAGAGAGAUUGAAUAAGAAUACUUGAGAGAGAUACUGAGUGUGAUUGUAUUGCAUUUUUAGAGUAACUUUUUACUCUACUUUUUUAUUUACUCCAGCUACCACCAAAAGUAUACCAAUCAGGUGAAACUUAUUUUUUUUUAUUUUUACUCCAUUUACUAUUUAGAAAGUGAGAAACACACUCUUAAUUUUACUCUGUAUUAUGCUAUAGUAAUAAUGUUUCCAUUCAUUUUUUCUUUUCUUUCUUGUUUUCACCAUUUUUAUUUUUCACCUAUUUCCACAUUUUUUAUUCACUCCUUUUUAUUCUAGCUGUAUCCAAUCACACUCAUGGAGAAAUACGUCACAGAUUAGGAAGC
rnacentral:lncRNA from 1 species